CGGGUGCACUGAUCCAGCCGGGCCUUUCCCUCUGUGGAACCCCAUGGCCUUCACUGGCUGUGGCAGGGAAACAGGACUUUUACUUUGAAAAAAUUAGAGUGCUCCAGGCAGGCCUAUGCUCGAAUACAUUAGCAUGGAAUAAUAGAAUAGGACGUGUGGUUCUAUUUUGUUGGUUUCUAGGACCGCCGUAAUGAUUAAUAGGGACAGUCGGGGGCAUCAGUAUUCAAUUGUCAGAGGUGAAAUUCUUGGAUCUAUUGAAGACUAACUACUGCGAAAGCAUUUGCCAAGGAUGUUUUCAUUGAUAAGGAACGAAAGUUAGGGGAUCGAAGACGAUCAGAUACCGUCGUAGUCUUAACUAUAAACUAUGCCGACUAGGGAUCGGACGAUGUUAUUCUUUGACGCGUUCGGCACCUUUCGAGAAAUCAAAGUGCUUGGGCUCCAGGGGGAGUAUGGUCGCAAGGCUGAAACUUAAAGAAAUUGACGGAAGGGCACCACCAGGGGUGGAACCUGCGGCUUAAUUUGACUCAACACGGGGAAACUCACCAGGUCCAGACACAGUGAGGAUUGACAGAUUGAGAGCUCUUUCUUGAUUCUGUGGGUGGUGGUGCAUGGCCGUUCUUAGUUGGUGGAGUGAUUUGUCUGCUUAAUUGCGAUAACGAACGAGACCUUAACCUGCUAAAUAGCCCGUACUGCUUUGGCAGUUCGCCGGCUUCUUAGAGGGACUAUCGG
rnacentral:rRNA from 1 species